rnacentral:misc_RNA from 1 species
GUGAAUCAUCAAAUUUUUGAACGCAAAUUGCACUCUCCUCGGAGAGUAUGCCUGUUUGAGGGUCAGCCUAUAAAAAGUCGACAUCGUUGCUGUUUCGCGGUGGUGCUCGUCGGAAAUUGGGUCAUCUUAACUCUUUUGGUUUUAAGCGUCUUAAAAUUUUCUUUUUGGUUCCAUGAACGUUUCUAAGAUUUAUUUCUUUACACGCUUAAGGUAUCGAUUUUUAUCAGACGUGACUAUCAUAUCGGAUCGUGCCCAUACUCUUUCCUUAACUGACUCCAGACAGGUAAGAGUACCCUCUGAA